rnacentral:snRNA from 1 species
GUGCUCGUUUCAGCAGCACAUAUAAUAAAAUCGGAGUGAUACAGAAAAGAUUAGCAUGGCCCCUGCGCAAGGAUGACAUGCAGAUGAAUUCCACCACAUUGGA